ensembl:lncRNA
AAAAAAAAUACAAAAAAACAAUGAGACUAUUAUUGAAUGGAUUUAAGGGUGAAUCAAACUGCAUUAGAGUUCCACAAAAUGAAAAAUAUCUAGCCAGUUGACAAGAAAAUGAACAAACCCAAGUGAACGUCUGCAGCUAGACAAACUGAGAUUAUUAGAGGAAGCCAACAACUCUGCACCUGGAUUUCAUUAAAAGUAAUUGUUGAAGCUUGAUCCACCUUUCCUAUGAAUCUCUCACCAGCAGGUGUGUGUUGUUAACCUGUUAAGCUUUGAUUGGCCAGAAAAAGUCUCUGGCAACAUUUAUUCCCCAUCACUGUCAACACUAACUCUACCGCUGGUCUUCACAAUGACGACUGCACGGUUCUUCUUGGGGGUUUCCCUUUUUGUUGUGCUGAUUGCGGAUAUAUGCUGUGUUCCUGUUAAGAAAGGCCAAAAUCCUAGUCCUCCCCAAAGCGGCAGCGGCUUGAAUGCUGCUAAUUUUCCGUCUAACCUGGGAGUGCAUCAUGCCUAUUACCCAGGUGGACUUGCUGCACCCAUCAUUGCUCCCUCUAGAGAUGCCUCCCCCCCAGAUGCUAGUUACUCUCAGCCUGCUGUUCAGAGCGAGGCAGCGGGAUCAGCCGGCUCCAGUUCUAGACCUGGCCAGCCGGGAUACUCCGUCAGCUCUACACAGUCUGGUGGUCCUCCUCCGCCUGAAGUGGAUUGGCUUGUAAAACCUCCCAGUUUAUCCUCUGGAAGUCAAGGCGCGUCAGCUGCCACUGGUGACCUUGGAUCCAGUAGACCUGGUGAGACGAGUGUGAUUUUACCUCCACUGCCCGAACUAUCGUACCAGGCGGGAGAGCUAUCCCAUUUUGAGAGAAACGCUGAAAAUGGGGCGAGCCAGUCGGAGAGGGAAGAAAUGGGCUACCCAACUGGCCACCCUUUCGAUGUGCCUCUUGGCCCUGGAUACCCUUCUUAUCCCUUUCCACCCGUUGACCUUGGGGGAUUCUUUGGUCAUCCUUAUCCCUACUAUGACUACAGGUUCCUGACCGGCCAGUACCCACCUGGCACAGUCAGUCACUUCAGCCAGAACUACGAGCAGGGCCGAGACUUCUGGCAAGACAAUCACUACUUGAAAGAACACGCUCUCCCUUCUCCCCCUCCUGGCCAGCAGGUAGCAACCUUCCCAGGUCCCCAGGGCUUCAGAGACUCCAGACCCCCUGUGAAUUUGCCUGGUUAUAGACCAGGUGGGGCUGGGCAACCCUCUUCUGCCCACAGAGUCUAUGCAUAGGCUGGAUACUAAGCGGUGAAUGUCAACGGCAUAAACAUGCAUUUCAGCCAUUUAAUAAACCUUAUAAAUACUAUUGCUUUUAGAUUUGUUACUCUGGGUGCUUCUGAAAAUAAUUCAAAAUCCACAUUUCUUGGGGUCAAACUGUAAUGGGACUGUUGCUUUAAAACGUAGAUGACUUCAUGCACAUCUGUCCUGUAACUUGGCCUUAUUUGUGCCUUAUGGUUAAGGACUUGACACUGAAAGUGAAACUAAAAUGCUUAAGCUUUCUUUGUUUGCUCAACGAAGUGGAUUUUUAGUUUCAGAGACUGUAUUGUGAAAUUGUACAAGAUCUAUAUGGAGUGCACUGUUUGCGCUGAAUCUUAAAAGCUGUGGGUUUUUUUUUUUUGUUUUGUUUUUUUUUUGUUUUUUUCCCCCAAUUUUAUUUUAUUUUUUUUCUCAGAUAAGUACUGGACAGUACUGAAUACUACUGUUGAGCAUGGUAUUACUGCAUGUUAAAGACUGGUAACCUGA